ensembl:misc_RNA Metazoa_SRP Metazoan signal recognition particle RNA
GCCAGGCAUGGUGGCGCAUGCCUGUAGUCCCAGCUACUUGGGAGGCUGAGACAGGAGAAUCACUUGAACCCGGGAGAUGGAGGUUGCAGUGAGCCAAGAUCGUGCCACUGCACUCCAGCCUGGUGACAGAGUGAGACUCUGUCUCAA